rnacentral:rRNA from 1 species
GAUGAACGCUGGCUACAGGCUUAACACAUGCAAGUCGAGGGGAAACGCCGGGGAAGCUUGCUUCCCCGGGCGUCGACCGGCGCACGGGUGAGUAACGCGUAUCCAACCUGCCUCUGACUGAGGGAUAACCCGUCGAAAGUCGGCCUAAUACCUCAUGGCAUCGUCUGCGGGCAUCCAACGACGAUUAAAGAUUUCAUCGGUCAGAGAUGGGGAUGCGUCUGAUUAGCUUGUUGGCGGGGUAACGGCCCACCAAGGCGACGAUCAGUAGGGGUUCUGAGAGGAAGGUCCGCCACAUUGGAACUGAGACACGGUCCAAACUCCUACGGGAGGCAGCAGUGGGGAAUAUUGGUCAAUGGGCGAGAGCCGGAACCAGCCAAGUAGCGUGCAGGAUGACGGCCCUAUGGGUUGUAAACUGCUUUUAUGCGGGGAUAAAGUGAGGGACGUGUCCUUCAUUGCAGGUACCGCAUGAAUAAGGACCGGCUAAUUCCG